GGUCUAGUAGAUCAACGGCAGAUCGUCAGAUUCCAGUCCUGAAGGUUGCGUGUUCGAAUCACGUCUGGAUCA